rnacentral:rRNA from 1 species
UACGUAGGUGGCAAGCGUUGUCCGGAUUUACUGGGCGUAAAGAGCGCGCAGGCGGUCGUUCAAGUCGCGUGUGAAAGCCCCCGGCUCAACUGGGGAGGGUCACGCGAUACUGAUCGACUCGAAGGCAGGAGAGGGAAGUGGAAUUCCCGGUGUAGUGGUGAAAUGCGUAGAUAUCAGGAGGAACACCAGUGGCGAAGGCGACUUCCUGGCCUGUUCUUGACGCUGAGGCGCGAAAGCUAGGGGAGCAAACGGG